rnacentral:lncRNA from 1 species
ACACUUUGUGAUGGUUUCCAUUGUUUAGUUGGAGAUGUGACCACUUACAUUCAGUGUUCCUAUAAAGAGAAGAGAUAUGUGCAUGAAUUCUAGCCAUCUAGAUUGAUUUCUCAUGUUUAAUGUGAUUCUGUUUCUUAUUUGCUUAGCAACACUUGUAAUGUAUUCUCCAGUCAUGGAGUCUUGCUUGUUUCCCCCUCUCCCCUGGGUUGAACCAAAGGCCUGACUCAUGCUAGGCAAGUCUUUGACACCGAGCCACACAUGCAGCUGCUGGGGUUUCUCUUAAUUUCUCAUGUGGAGUUUUUCCUUAAGCAUGUUCUGAAAUAUUGGCUUCUGAGUUGUGAAUUUUGUUUCUUUUUUGGAGGGGGGGUAUUACUGGGGGAUUGAACUCAGGGGCACUCAACCACAGAGCCAUAUCCCCAGCCCUAUUUUGUAUUUUAUUUAGAGACAGGGUUUCACUGAGUAGCUUAGUGCCUUGCCAGUUCUGACCCUGGCUUUGAACUUGCAAUCCUCUGUCUCAGCCUCCCAAGCCACAGGGAUUACACAUGUGAGCCACUGCAUCUGGCUUGGGAAUUCUAUUUAUAUCAGCUCAUCUGGCAAGGUUUUUUAAUGUCUCUCUGACUUUAAAAGAUAAUUUUGCUAGGUAUAGUAGUCUUGGUUGACAAUUAUUUUCUUCCAAAUUAGAUCCAAACACCCCUAGGGCUGGGCAGAUACUGAUUUUUGCUGGGUAUCUGGGUCACAGGUGCUUCCAGAGAAUUUGACUCCUAAGGCAGAUAAUCAACCAACUUUGGUUUUGAGGGCACAGCAUACUUAUACCAAUGAAUAUAACCUUUCAAAGCUCAGUACCUAAAUGCAUUUCCACCCACUUUUUCAGUUUUCUGACCCUCAUAGUUUAUCAUGUGAGCCAUCAGACUCAAAGGGAAAGCAAGCUGUACUCACCACCUUGUCUCUGACCUGAAUCCUCCUAAUUAUAAUCAUCUUGCUUCCUUCCUUUCUUCUAUUCUUUCUUUGGAAUGAACCCAGGCAUGCUCUUCCAAUGAACUAAAACCACAAUUCAUUCUAUUUUUUAUUUUAAGACAGGGCCUCACUAGGUUCUUCAGGAGGGCCUCAAAGUUGUGAUCAGCCUGCCUCAGCCUCCCAAGUCACAGAGUUCCUGUGCCAAAUUUUUCAGUUGUGUUCCUCUCUGCCUUUUUAUUCCCCCUCCCCUCUGUGGUGAGCUAACCCCACUGCUGUCUCUACCUUGGCUCCAAUAUCCCUUUCCUUGGGCUUUAUACAAAACAGCAGAAUUUCUGAGGCUCUUACUGUCCAAUAUUGAACUUUAGUGUAUUCCCUCAGGCACCACCUCAGUGAGAAGCAGAACUCCUGCUGCUUCAAUUCUGAGCUGCGGAGCAAGUGGAAAGUGCAGCCUUCCUCUACUCUGCCACCUCUAUUUCCUCGUUCUAUAUAAGACUUAUGUGUAAGUCAUAAAAACGUGGAUGGCAUAGUUUGCUCCACGAAGUGAGGAAUGGGUCUGGGCCACAGUUUCAGAGAGAAGCAGAGAGAUAUUCUUUCUGUUGAGCUGUGACUCACUACCUGCAUCUUCCACCUGGCUGUACCCAUGGGAGAGAGAACAACAUGAUCUUUCAACAUCAGGCCUCAUCAUUGACAAUACACAUCCCUUUUCUACUAAAGAGAUAAAAUACAUUUAAAUGUGGAUUUAAGACCCCUCCCACUCUGCACACUGAUCACUGACUUCAGUGGUCCCUAUCUGGCUGAGCACCAGUUUAGCUGCUGGGCCAAAUCUCCCAGAUUAGUCAGCACAAGACAGAGGAGUCACUUAUUGUAAGCUUGAGGAGAUCUGAUGCACAGUCUGGGAAUCCUGGUCAUUAUUUGAGCUUCUGAAAGUAUGAACUACACUCUGGCAGCAUCAGCACCACCUUGACGUUGAAAUGGCAUCUACUACUAACUCCACACUCUCCAUGUUGGGUUGAUGUCCAGGGGACUCAUGUGCACAGGAAAUCUGGGACUCCCUGAUCCAUGUGUGUCCUGGGUGUGGCAGCAGAACUGUGCACUCAGCUGUGGACGUGUUGUCUGAUCAGAUGGCAAACACGGGGAGCUCACAGAGCUCCAGGGCUCAGUGCCUGUCCCUUUCUUUACUUGGCUACCACUCCCUUGGUGUGCUCACCUGUGCUCAAGGCUUUAAUCCAUUUCUCCAUUCUGGAUGCACUCAUCUGUCCACGGCCAAUGUCACAACCUCACCUGCAUUUCCAGGAUAUAUCUCAGUUCAGUGUCUAUGCUGAGUGCCUGCCAUGUCCCUUUCCAGAGUCCUCUGCUGUCCAUUGAGGGCUACUCCAUAAUGCAGUCUGAUGUAAGGGGUGCACCACUGACUCUUCCUUCUUAUACCCCAGCUUCAGUCCAUUAGGAAGUGCUGGGAAGGCCAUCCUAAGAAUCUGGCUCCCCACUUUGCCAUUCUCUUCUGAGCACAGAAGCCAUAGUGUCUUUUACAACACAAGUCUUUUUAUAGGGGAAGUUCUGCUGUGAUCCUUCUGUGGUCGAACUGCCUUCUAACUCUCUGGCUCACUCAGAGUAAAGGUUCAAAGACUUCCAGGAACUUCCAGCCCUGCAGGAUCUGAUCAUAUCAUUGGCCUCUACUCAGUGACUCUGCUCAGGGCAUACCACAGUUCUCAGUUUACCAUGAACACAAGCACAUGCUCCUGCCCCAGUGCCUUUGCACUGCUAUUUAUCCUUCCUGGAAAGAAUUUGAUACUGAUACCAUCAAGAUUAUUAUUCAUGUUCUUCAAAUCUUACCUCAAAGGUCAUCUUUUCAUCAAGGCACUGAGUACUUUGGCAAAUACUUGUCUUCCCUGUUGCCCCCACCACCACAUACCCUCUGAAUAAACUUGUAACUCUUAUGACUCCUAUAUGAACAUUGUGCUUAUUUAAUAUGUUUAUAGUGCAUCCUAUUCUAGCCAUUAGAACAUAUAUUUCACUAGGCUGGAUUUUUUUUUACUUUUCCUCUGAAUUUCCCAGAUAUAAAAAAUACUAUAACACAUAUUUUGAGACAGGGUCUCACUUGCUCAGGCUGGCUUCCAACUUUCAAUCCUCUUGAGCCAGUGGGAUUACAGGUGUGUGCCACCAGCUGUCCUUCCUUUAUUUUUACUGCUGAAGUUUUACUUUUUAUGGUUAUACACAGUGUGCCACUUGCCUGAUGAUGUAUAUGUGUCUGAUUCUACUCUGCCAUAAGCAUCAGUGCACACACAGAUAAGAUCACCCCAGGCAUAUGAUCAUGAGAAGGAACUUUCUUUCUUU